rnacentral:rRNA from 1 species
UUCAUCAUGUAUGCUUUUCUAAUUAUAAUGGGGGGUGGGGGGAUGAAGAGGAAACUUUUCGAGCCACACACCGGAAUUUACUUUGAGGAAAUUAAAGUGUUCAUAGCAAAUAAGUGUUUGAAUACUACAGCAUGGAAUAACAAAAUAGGACUUUGGUAUUGUUUUGUUGGAGUAGAGAAACCAAAGUAAAGAUGAAUAGGGACAGUUGGGGGCAUUGGAAUUUGAUAGUCAGAGGUGAAAUUCAUGGAUUUAUCAAAGACCAACAAAGGCGAAAGCAUUUGCCAAGGAUGUUUUCAUUGAUCAAGAACGAAAGUCAGGGGAUCGAAGACGAUUAGAUACCGUCGUAGUCUUGACCGUAAACGAUGCCGACUUGGGGGAGGUGCGAGAUGAGAAGCGCAUCACAACCAAAGGAGAAAUCAAAGUGUAUGGGUUCUGGGGGGAGUAUAGUCGCAAGGCCGAAACUUGAAGGAAUUGACGGAAGGGCACCACCAGGAGUGGAGCCUGCGGCUUAAUUUGACUCAACACGGGAAAACUUACCAGGUCCGGACAUGAUGAGGAUUGACAGAUUGAGAGCACUUUUAAGAUUUCAUGGGAGGUGGUGCAUGGCCGUUCUUAGUUGGUGGAGUGAUUUGUCAGGUUAAUUCCGAUAACGAGCGAGACCCUGUGAUGACGGUAAUGAUUGAGUAUGUAAAUACGCGAGACGUUUCUUCAUCGACACCCCA